rnacentral:tRNA from 1 species
UGGGAUAGCUCAGUAAGUAGAGCAUGAGACUCUUAAUCUCAUGGUCCUGGGUUCAAGCCCUACAUUGGGCAAAA